rnacentral:rRNA from 1 species
AUUGAACGCUGGCGGCAGGCCUAACACAUGCAAGUCGAACGAGGGGCGGACGGGAGAGUAAUGUCUGGGAAACUGCCUGAUGGAGGGGUAUAACUUGUGGAAACGGUAUCUAAUCCCGCAUACCAUCGGAUUCGCCCAGAUGGGAUUCGCUAGUAGGUGGGGUAAAGGCUCACCUAGGCGACGAUCCCUAGCUGGUCUGAGAGGAUGACCAGCCACACUGGAACUGAGACACGGUCCAGACUCCUACGGGAGGCAGCAGUGGGGAAUAUUGCACAAUGGGCGCAAGCCUGAUGCAGCCAUGCCGCGUGUAUGAAGAAGGCCUUCGGGUUGUAAAGUACUUUCAGCGGUGAGGCGUUACCCGCAGAAGAAGCACCGGCUAACUCCGUGCCAGCAGCCGCGGUAAUUC